rnacentral:rRNA from 1 species
UACGGGGGGGGCAAGCGUUGUUCGGAAUUACUGGGCGUAAAGGGCGCGUAGGCGGCGCGGUAAGUCACUUGUGAAAUCUCUGAGCUUAACUCAGAACGGCCAAGUGAUACUGCAGUGCUAGAGUGCAGAAAGGGCAAUCGGAAUUCUUGGUGUAGCGGUGAAAUGCGUAGAUAUCAAGAGGAACACCUGAGGCGAAGGCGGGUUGCUAGGCUGACACUGACGCUGAGUGCGCGAAAGCCAGGGGAGCAAACGGG